GACAGAGGGUGCGAACGUUUAUUCGGAAUCACUGGGCUUACAGGGUGCGUAGGCGGUCGUUCAGGUCAGGUGUGAAAGCCCUCGGCUCAACCGAGGAACUGCGCUUGAAACCGGAUGGCUCGAGUCAACUAGAGGUGCACGGAACUUCCAGUGGAGCGGUGAAAUGUGUUGAUAUUGGAAGGAACACCGGAGGCGAAAGCGGUGCACUGGGGUUGGUCUGACGCUGAGGCACGAAAGCCAGGGGAGCGAAACGGG
rnacentral:rRNA from 1 species